CUUGGGCAUGGAUCCCUCUUUCAAUCUCUCUCUCUCUCUCCCUCUCCACAUGGAAACAGAUCCGAGUCUCUCUCAAAUUGCAACAAGGGAAGUUGAGGCAUGGAUCUCCUGCUAUGACGGAGCUCAUCUAGAUCAGGUUUUUGGACAUGCAUGUGUGAACAUUGCU